ensembl:lincRNA Gm30524 predicted gene, 30524
GGACUCACGUAUCACAGGCUGGCCUCAAACUCUAUCUCAGUGGAAGAGAAUAUGACGCUAUGCUCAGUCUCAUUAGUUCCUAAUGGGAUGUGACAACGCAUUUGCAAUGUGUGGUCAGAGUUCCUUCCUGGAGUAAAUGCUAACAGUUACCACACAGCUGCUUGUGCAAACUAUAGACGAUAGAGUCUGGAGUUCGGCAGACCAGCCAAAACGCCACGGUUGCCUCCUGAUGACCUACAUCUGCUCUCUGCCUGGAGCCAAUAAUGCAAGCAGUAUUUUCAUCACGAAGCAUCUAGAGAGAAAAGAUUUCACAACUUCCUAGAGCACAUUCAAGCUCCCACUGUGUCCUCUGGCGCCAUCGAUAAAUCCCUCUUAUUCGUCUGACUUCAGCCUGCGCACCACAGAG